rnacentral:hammerhead_ribozyme from 1 species
AUCCAGAUGACGAGUCCCAAAUAGGACGAAAUGCGCAUCCUG